rnacentral:lncRNA from 1 species
GUUAUUCUAAAAAUAGCAGAUUAAGCAAUCAAUUAGUUUAUUCAGUCAUUCCACAAAAACUUAAAGUAUGAAAAUAUUGUACUUACUGGAAAUAUGAUGGGCUAUCAGAAUUGUGUCUGACAGGGCUGGUCACUUACGUUUUGAAGAAUAGCUUAGAAAUCUUUUCCUGUUUAACACUCAGCAAUAUAGAAACAGUUCACCUGGGCGUUCUGAAAUGAAGAGUUUAUUUUUAAGGAGCUGAUAAUCAAAAAUGGAUUACUUGCCUGGUAUUGGGUUUCAGGCAGUCUGGAUUUCCAAAUCAUAAUUUUCUAGAGGG